UCACGAUUAUACAUAUGUAGUUACUACAUUUUUGUUAGCUGAACGUCUAGUGCCAUCGAUAUCUUUUAAAACAAAGGCAUUAAUUCUUUUAUUUCCUCUGUCAGAUGAUAGUGAUAUGAUAUUCAGCCUAGACGAGGAUCAUCUCGAGAACAAUGUUACAUCUGACAAUGCAACACGCACUUGUAUAGGAAAUCCCGCCACUUUAAGUGGCACCCCUAUAUAAAAGCAAAGACCACGCUCACCUUUACGUUUAAAAUCAUUCACUACUCUUAACGUAAACAUGUGCCUUUGAAAGGAAAAUACAGGGUAGAUAUAACGCUUUUAUUUUAUCUACCAGGUGGAAGGAUAGAGAGAUAUCAAUGCAACCUAAAUUUCUAUUUCAUUCUUGAAAGUACAUCGAUACGGGAGAAUGGUGGAUUGAUUGGUUUCAUCCACAGUUUCGUAAUGGAAGUUUUGGCAAUUGUUCGCGCGGGCAUUACGGCAUUAGGCGGUAACGCUAUGGUAGCGUUCUUUAUGACGCAGUGUGUGCUUCUUCACAGCCCUCACAAAAAUCAAGGUCAAUGUCUCAUUAAUGUGGGUGGCGAUGUCGUAACGGUAUCUUAUUAUGCGGAUGAGAAGCACAGUGUUGUUUCAAAUUGCUGACCCCAACCUCCACAUUCGGCACCACCAUGAACGACUAUUUAAUAACGGCAAUUAAUGCUGUUAAAAAAAUAUAUAUAUGUGUAUAUAUUUACCAGUAUCAAUGAUGUUAUAGAUAGGAUCGUGUAUAGCGGUUCUGUGAGACUUUCAUUGCAUUGUGCAAUACCUAAUCUCAAGUAUCUCUUCGUAGCAAUCGACAUUGUUAUUUAUUAAUUUAUUUUACAAAGAUAAAGAGAUUCGAUACUUUAUUUAACAUAUUAUUUUUUUAUGAAUAAAUACACUAGAACGUAAUGAAACGUGACAAAGGUAAAUCAGUCUGUUUUAUAGAUUUAAAAUAUCUUGUAUAUUUAAUAUCUACUGUGUUACAAAAUAUUUAAAUGGUUUGAUAUUUA